ACAUUUUCUAAAUCAAAAAAGAACGUAAAUGUACACAAUUGCAGCCAUAGGCUGAUUUCCAUUGUUUCUCCCCUUGCCAGAUGGUACAGGCAAAUUCCUAUAAUAAUAAAACAAAAAACACAUAAUAAAUUCAUA